AUUUUCUCAAUGAUAGAUCAGGCAGAGAUGGGGUCUUUGUGCAUUUUUAUAUAUGCAAAGACUCUAGGGCAAGCCAGGUUGGCAAUCUUUUUCUUAGAAAUGUAGUCAGGUAAAUUAUUGCACUUAAUAAGCUUGUUAACUUUCGCAACUAGUGCAUCUGUGGGGUUUCUAGGUAAGACCUCUGCGUUGCAGUCCUGUACAAAUCGCAUAAUAUGGGCGUUAUAGGUGUUUUUCUUAAGGAGAGCUAGCUUCUUAGACUUAUCUUCUCUUGUUAUAAUUAGCUCCUGGUUCAUGAGCCAGUUGAGUGUUUGGUGGAUUCUUAUGUGGUUCGACGUAAAGUUGUUAGUGGGGCCUUGAUUAUGGAUUCCUUUCAUGCUGUGUUCAUUGAUGAAGGACCAUCUUAAUUUCUCUGCUUCUAACUCGUCAAGUAGUUCAACAACUCCCUCGAAGAUCGGAAUGUCAUCUAAAACACUAAGUGUUUCGGAAAGUGCACAAUUUGGGCCUUUCGGUAAAAGUUCGGUCACAAAGGCCGAAAUUUUAUCUAAAGGCAUUCUGAUUGAGCAUGCACCUGCGGACCGUCGGGGCCGCGAGCUCCUGCGCGGGGUUGCAUGUAUUGUUUGCC
rnacentral:lncRNA from 1 species